UAAACUAGGAUUAGAUACCCUAUUAUUAGAAAUAAAACAUUGUUAGUAAAUAAUAUUUAUGAAAACAAAAAAUCAUGGCGGUAUCUUAAGCUUUUCAGAGGAAUUUGCUCUUUAAUGGAUAAAACACCCAAAUCUUACUAAAAUUGGUUAAGACAGUUUGUAUACCACUAUUUAAGUAAUUAUUAAUUAUAAUUGCUGUAAAUUUUAAACAAAAAAAAAGUUAAGUCAAGGUGCAGCAUAAAUUUUAGGAUGAAGUGAAUUACAAUGCUUUUUAGAAAAGCGAUUUAAAAAAAAAAUUAGGAUUUGAAAGUAAAAAUUUUAAUAGAAUGAUUAUUUGAAUUAAGCUCUGAGAUAUGUACAUAUCGCCC
rnacentral:rRNA from 1 species